rnacentral:rRNA from 1 species
AGUGAACGCUGGCGGUAGGCCUAACACAUGCAAGUCGAACGGUAGCACAGGAGAGCUUGCUCUCUGGGUGGCGAGUGGCGGACGGGCGAGGAAUACAUCGGAAUCUACUCUGUCGUGGGGGAUAACGUAGGGAAACUUACGCUAAUACCGCAUACGACCUACGGGUGAAAGCAGGGGAUCUUCGGACCUUGCGCGAUUGAAUGAGCCGAUGUCGGAUUAGCUAGUUGGCGGGGUAAAGGCCCACCAAGGCGACGAUCCGUAGCUGGUCUGAGAGGAUGAUCAGCCACACUGGAACUGAGACACGGUCCAGACUCCUACGGGAGGCAGCAGUGGGGAAUAUUGGACAAUGGGCGCAAGCCUGAUCCAGCCAUACCGCGUGGGUGAAGAAGGCCUUCGGGUUGUAAAGCCCUUUUGUUGGGAAAGAAAUCCAGCUGGCUAAUACCCGGUUGGGAUGACGGUACCCAAAGAAUAAGCACCGGCUAACUUCGUGCCAGCAGCCGCCGUAA